rnacentral:rRNA from 1 species
GACGAACGCUGGCGGCGUGCUUAACACAUGCAAGUCGAACGGUGAAGCGCCUUCCUUUUUGGUGGGUGUGGAUGAGUGGCGAACGGGUGAGUAACACGUGAGUAACCUGCCCCCUUCUUCUGGAUAACCGCAUGAAAGUGUGGCUAAUACGGGAUAUUCUGGGUCUGUCGCAUGAUGGGUCUGGGAAAGAUAUUGUUUCGGUGGGGGAUGGGCUCGCGGCCUAUCAGCUUGUUGGUGGGGUGAUGGCCUACCAAGGCGGUGACGGGUAGCCGGCCUGGGAGGGUAGACGGUCACACUGGGACUGAGACACGGCCCAGACUCCUAAGGGAGGCAGCAGUGGGGAAUAUUGCACAAUGGGCGCAAGCCUGAUGCAGCGACGCCGCGUGAGGGAUGGAGGCCUGCGGGUUGUGAACCUCUUUCGCCAGUGAAGCAGGCCUGCCUCGUUUGUGGGUGGGUUGACGGUAGCUGGAUAAGAAGCGCCGGCUAACUACGUG